UUCCUAUUUUUGCUCUUGCUAAAGAAUGCCUGAGAAGGAAAAAAAUCUCUUCUAGGAGGAAACAGGUUUGAAAGAGAAGAAAUAUGCCCCAAGCCUACUGAGCUUAGUGACUGUAGUGAUAUACCCCCUAGACAUGUUUAGACACUUAAAGGAGGUGCUCCAAGUCUUCCUCCUGGUGUACCUGUGCUCUGUAUGAACACUGGUCUCCCAGAGCAUGUGAUCCCUGCCGUGCAGAGCUGCAGACAGAGGCAUGCUGUCCCAGCACGGGCUGUGAUGAGUGGAGCAGAGAAGUACCCGAGGGAGGCAUGGAGCAGUGUAUCAGCUGGGAUUUUUCACAGAAAGAAGAAACAUCCCAAUAGAAAGCCGUCCUGCCCCGAGGCUCUUCCUGACGGAGGAGCAUCCCUAUCCAUCGCCUGGUGCUUUGCAGGGCUUCCAAUCGGAUCUGGCGGCUUUGUUCUGCUCGAUAGCACGAUAAUAGGUCGUUUCUCCGACCCGCGCCGUGCCGGUAACAGAGAGGUCGCCGAGGCUCCCACGUUAAGUCACUGGGGUUAGGAAUGAGACGCUAGAAGGCAUCUACAGCGUUGCCACUGAAGCCUGUUCUUAGCCAGAGCUUCGCCAGCAGAGCUCAUUCGCUGGACUUCAUCCCCAGAGCACGUUUUUACUCUCUUGUCGGCUUUUUGUUGCAUGUCUUUUUCCGAGCAGCUCUGCAGGCUGUGCCCGUGACACCGCCUUCCAGCACCUGUCCUUCCAUCCGCACUGAGCUUCGGGGGACAGAUUCCUUUCAGCUCAGUCCGUCCAAGAAACAACAUUUUGCUUUCUACUGCCCUGAGAUGAAUGGACUACAGACUCCCACCAAGUUGCACUGAAACACUCUCAUAAUGACACAAAAUACUACUAAAUACCAAAUGCACUGAAAGAAACCUGCCAGAUGCCAUGUAUGACCAAUUCAAGCAUGGAGAAAUGGAGGCUGCUCACCAGUGGCUGGGUCUGGAAGAAACAUAGCACUGAUGCGGGCAAGUUUCAUGGUAAUGCUUACUACGGACAGCUCUGGGUAGUGGAUAAUAGGUCACUCCAAAAUUCCUUCUCCAGUAGGGAUCCUCCAGAUGAAAUCAAUUGGAGUGAAGCUGCAUAUGAGUGCAAGAACAGUUUUCAGGUACCAUGGAUCAUGGGCCUCGCUUUUCAUUUUUCCUGGGUGUUAAAGAAAAAUAAAUAAAGGCUCUGAAAGCACUCCAAGGCUCUGAAAGCUUUCCUCCUUAACUUCCUCACAUCCUCAGCUGUAGUUAGGACUCCCAGAGGAGAACUUGUAUUCACUUUAACGCCUACUUGACUCAGCAAAAUGUAGUGAGGCACUGGCCAAACACUCCCUGAGUCCAUUUCAGAGAGCUGUCAGGGAACAGCCUCGUCUUCCUCCUCCUUAGGCGCCCUGCAGAUUCCUGCUCCAGGAUCGGAUGGAUAGCAGCACCAUUGGGCGAGCAGGCAACGCUCCCAGUGAUGGCUGAGCUGCUUGCACGCAGAGCGGCUGACAACCGGCUGCACGUCUGCUGCUCAGUAAAGACGUGGUUGCAGCCUGACAGAGCAGCACUGAAAAUUUCAUAAUGGAAAAUGAUAACAAGGAGAUUGCCUUCAGCCUUGGGGAAUGUGAUCUAAUCCCAAACGGGGGAGGCAUGCAAACAAACCUGACACUCUUCUGCAUGAACCUUAACCCUUAAGAUAUUAAGAUAUUUUAAUACAUAUCUUAACCAAUCUUAAGCUUUGUGGGUUAUUCUUAUUAUGUUUAAUUAUUUUAUUGUUAAAUUGCUACUCAUUAUUUUGUGCAUAGCACUAAGCCAGUAAUUUCUUAAACACUUUGGCUCUCUUUAGACAGAAAGGUUACACUCACUUAGCGUCUAAGACAGGAGUUUAGCUUUUAGCUGAUAGUACUUUGCAUCUUGCUUCAAUAUGUCCUGAUUAAAUAUGGCAAGUUGAAAUAUUCCUUCUAAUACUGGAAUGAUGUUUUUCUUAUAAAAGGAUCCCAGGUGGCCAGGUAACAGAAGAGAGGUCUCUUGCAGUGAAAUGAAUACUAAUUCAAAAAUUGAAGAGUACUGUUUCUAAAUGGGAAAGAUGCAGAAGUGAUUGCAGCGCCGCGUCCUGUAACAUUUAUUCUCAGGCUCCAGAUCAAUGUCCAGAUAUUAAUUAAUCCCUAUGUUUUC